rnacentral:rRNA from 1 species
AGGAGGCAGCAGUGAGGAAUAUUGCGCAAUGGGCGGAAGCCUGACGCAGCGACGCCGCGUGGGGGAUGAAGGCCUUCGGGUUGUAAACCUCUUUCAGCGCCGAGGAAGCGGAAGUGACGGUAGGCGCAGAAGAAGCACCGGCUAACUACGUGCCAGCAGCCGCGGUAAUACGUAGGGUGCAAGCGUUGUCCGGAAUUAUUGGGCGUAAAGAGCUCGUAGGCGGUUUGUCGCGUCUGCUGUGAAAACUCGGGGCUUAACCUCGGGCUUGCAGUGGGUACGGGUAGACUGGAGUGCGGUAGGGGAGACUGGAAUUCCUGGUGUAGCGGUGAAAUGCGCAGAUAUCAGGAGGAACACCGGUGGCGAAGGCGGGUCUCUGGGCCGUAACUGACGCUGAGGAGCGAAAGCGUGGGGAGCGAACAGGAUUAGAAACCCGAGUAGA